rnacentral:rRNA from 1 species
GUGGGGAAUCUUAGACAAUGGGGGAAACCCUGAUCUAGCCAUGCCGCGUGAGCGAUGAAGGCCUUAGGGUUGUAAAGCUCUUUCGGCUGGGAAGAUAAUGACGGUACCAGCAGAAGAAGCCCCGGCUAACUCCAUGCCAGCAGCCGCGGUAAUACGGAGGGGGCUAGCGUUGUUCGGAAUUACUGGGCGUAAAGCGCACGUAGGCGGAUCAGAAAGUCAGAGGUGAAAUCCCAGGGCUCAACCUUGGAACUGCCUUUGAAACUCCUGGUCUUGAGGUCGAGAGAGGUGAGUGGAAUUCCGAGUGUAGAGGUGAAAUUCGUAGAUAUUCGGAGGAACACCAGUGGCGAAGGCGGCUCACUGGCUCGAUACUGACGCUGAGGUGCGAAAGCGUGGGGAGCAAACAGGAUUAGAUACCCGAGUAGUCC